rnacentral:rRNA from 1 species
UACAGAGGGUGCAAGCGUUAAUCGGAAUUACUGGGCGUAAAGCGUGCGUAGACGGUUAUGUAAGUCAGGCGUGAAAGCCCCGGGCUCAACCUUGGAAUUGCAUUUGAGACUGCAUAGCUAGGGUGCGGAAGAGGGAAGCGGAAUUUCCGGUGUAGCGGUGAAAUGCGUAGAUAUCGGAAGGAACACCAGUGGCGAAAGCGGCUCCCUGGUCCAGCACCGACGUUCAGGCACGAAAGCGUGGGGAGCAAACAGG